rnacentral:lncRNA from 1 species
GACUCCUAGCAGUUGAAAAUUGUUGAACUUGGUUGCUCCAACGAGCUUCUUCCAGAUCUUCAGUGUAAUAGACACAGCCAAUCUGGAUUGAGGACUGGAGUCUACACCGCCGUGAACCACUGGAGUUGUCAGAUGAAGGUGGCAGAAUGGAGAGAAGUAUCAGGCAUAAGCUACAGUCAUAUAAACCUUGAUACAGAUGUGAAUUGAGAUGGGAUUUUUCUGUGUUUUCCAGACU